UCGGUAUAGGAUGGGCUCGCGACCCAUUAGCUAGUUGGUGAGGUAACGGCCCACCAAGGCAACGAUGGGUAGCCGACCUGAGAGGGUGAUCGGCCACACUGGGACUGAGACACGGCCCAGACUCCUACGGGAGGCAGCAGUGGGGAAUAUUGGGCAAUGGAGGAAACUCUUACCCAGCAAUGCCGCGUGAAUGAAGAAGGUCUUCGGAUUGUAAAGUUCUUUAAUUGGGGACGAAAAAAAUGACGGUACCCAAGGAAUAAGCCCCGGCUAACUACGUGCCAGCAGCCGCGGUAAUACGUAGGGGGCAAGCGUUGUUCGGAAUGACUGGGCGUAAAGGGUGUGUAGGCGGUGUAGCAAGUUAGAAGUGAAAUACCUAGAGCUUAACUCAGGUGCUGCUUCUAAAACUGCUAUACUUGAGUGCAGUAGAGGAAAGUGGAAUUCCUAGUGUAGCGGUGGAAUGCGUAGAUAUUAGGAGGAACAUCACUGGCGAAGGCGACUUUCUGGACUGUAACUGACGCUGAGGCACGAAAGUGUGGGGAGCAAACAGGAUUAGAUACCCUGGUAGUCCACACUGUAAACGAUGGAUACUAGGUGUAGGAG
rnacentral:rRNA from 1 species